rnacentral:rRNA from 1 species
UAGCCAGACUCCUACGGGAGGCAGCAGUGAGGAAUAUUGGUCAAUGGACGCAAGUCUGAACCAGCCAUGCCGCGUGCAGGAUGACGGCUCUAUGAGUUGUAAACUGCUUUUGUACGAGGGUAAACCCCGAUACGUGUAUCGGGUUGAAAGUAUCGUACGAAUAAGGAUCGGCUAACUCCGUGCCAGCAGCCGCGGUAAUACGGAGGAUCCGAGCGUUAUCCGGAUUUAUUGGGUUUAAAGGGAGCGUAGGCCGGCUUUUAAGUCAGCUGUGAAAGUCCGCGGCUCAACCGUGGAGUUGCAGUUGAAACUGGAGGCCUUGAGUGCACACAGGGAUGCCGGAAUUCAUGGUGUAGCGGUGAAAUGCUUAGAUAUCAUGAAGGACUCCGAUCGCGAAGGCAAGUGUCCGGGGUGCAACUGACGCUGAGGCUCGAAAGUGCGGGUAUCAAACAGGAUUAGAUACCCCGGUAC